AGCAUCUAAGCACGAAACUUGCCCCGAGAUGAGUUCUCCCUGAGACUUUAAGUCUCCUGAAGGAACGUUAAAGACUAUGACGUUGAUAGGUCGGGUGUGUAAGCGCAGCGAUGCGUUGAGCUAACCGAUACUAAUGAACCGUGAGGCUUAACCUUACAACGCCGAAGC
rnacentral:rRNA from 1 species